GACGAACGCUGGCGGCGUGCCUAAUACAUGCAAGUCGAACGAACCGCGACUAAGUGCUUGCACUAAGUCAAGGUGAGUGGCGAACGGGUGAGUAACACGUGGGUAACCUACCUCAUAGUGGGGGAUAACAGUCGGAAACGACUGCUAAUACCGCAUAGGACAUAGGAUCACAUGAUCCAGUGAGGAAAGCUGGCGCAAGCUAUCGCUAAGAGAUGGACCCGCGGUGCAUUAGCUAGUUGGUAGGGUAAAGGCCUACCAAGGCGAUGAUGCAUAGCCGACCUGAGAGGGUGAUCGGCCACAUUGGGACUGAGACACGGCCCAAACUCCUACGGGAGGCAGCAGUAGGGAAUCUUCCGCAAUGGACGCAAGUCUGACGGAGCAACGCCGCGUGAGUGAAGAAGGUCUUCGGAUCGUAAAGCUCUGUUGUUAGAGAAGAACAGCGCAUAGAGUAACUGCUAUGCGUGUGACGGUAUCUAACCAGAAAGCCACGGCUAACUACGCG
rnacentral:rRNA from 1 species